GGUUAAGCGACUAAGCGUACACGGUGGAUGCCCUGGCAGUCAGAGGCGAUGAAGGACGUGCUAAUCUGCGAAAAGCGUCGGUAAGGUGAUAUGAACCGUUAUAACCGGCGAUGUCCGAAUGGGGAAACCCAGUGUGAUUCGUCACACUAUCGUUAACUGAAUACAUAGGUUAACGAGGCGAACCGGGGGAACUGAAACAUCUAAGUACCCCGAGGAAAAGAAAUCAACCGAGAUUCCCCCAGUAGCGGCGAGCGAACGGGGAGCAGCCCAGAGUCUGAAUCAGCUUGUGUGUUAGUGGAACGGUCUGGAAAGUCCGACGGUACAGGGUGAUAGUCCCGUACACCAAAAUGCACAGGCUGUGAACUCGAAGAGUAGGGCGGGACACGUGGUAUCCUGUCUGAAUAUGGGGGGACCAUCCUCCAAGGCUAAAUACUCCUGACUGACCGAUAGUGAACCAGUACCGUGAGGGAAAGGCGAAAAGAACCCCGGCGAGGGGAGUGAAAAAGAACCUGAAACCGUGUACGUACAAGCAGUGGGAGCACCUUCGGGUGUGACUGCGUACCUUUUGUAUAAUGGGUCAGCGACUUAUAUUCUGUAGCAAGGUUAACCGUAUAGGGGAGCCGCAGGGAAACCGAGUCUUAACUGGGCGUUAAGUUGCAGGGUAUAGACCCGAAACCCGGUGAUCUAGCCAUGGGCAGGUUGAAGGUUGGGUAACACUAACUGGAGGACCGAACCGACUAAUGUUGAAAAAUUAGCGGAUGACUUGUGGCUGGGGGUGAAAGGCCAAUCAAACCGGGAGAUAGCUGGUUCUCCCCGAAAGCUAUUUAGGUAGCGCCUCGUGAACUCAUCUUCGGGGGUAGAGCACUGUUUCGGCUAGGGGGUCAUCCCGACUUACCAACCCGAUGCAAACUACGAAUACCGAAGAAUGUUAUCACGGGAGACACACGGCGGGUGCUAACGUCCGUCGUGAAGAGGGAAACAACCCAGACCGCCAGCUAAGGUCCCAAAGUCAUGGUUAAGUGGGAAACGAUGUGGGAAGGCACAGACAGCCAGGAUGUUGGCUUAGAAGCAGCCAUCAUUUAAAGAAAGCGUAAUAGCUCACUGGUCGAGUCGGCCUGCGCGGAAGAUGUAACGGGGCUAAACCAUGCACCGAAGCUGCGGCAGCGACACUAUGUGUUGUUGGGUAGGGGAGCGUUCUGUAAGCCUGCGAAGGUGACCUGUGAGGGUUGCUGGAGGUAUCAGAAGUGCGAAUGCUGACAUAAGUAACGAUAAAGCGGGUGAAAAGCCCGCUCGCCGGAAGACCAAGGGUUCCUGUCCAACGUUAAUCGGGGCAGGGUGAGUCGACCCCUAAGGCGAGGCCGAAAGGCGUAGUCGAUGGGAAACAGGUUAAUAUUCCUGUACUUGGUGUUACUGCGAAGGGGGGACGGAGAAGGCUAUGUUAGCCGGGCGACGGUUGUCCCGGUUUAAGCAUGUAGGCUGAUUAUCCAGGCAAAUCCGGAUAAUCAAGGCUGAGGUGUGAUGACGAGGCACUACGGUGCUGAAGUAACAAAUGCCCUGCUUCCAGGAAAAGCCUCUAAGCAUCAGGUAACAUCAAAUCGUACCCCAAACCGACACAGGUGGUCAGGUAGAGAAUACCAAGGCGCUUGAGAGAACUCGGGUGAAGGAACUAGGCAAAAUGGUGCCGUAACUUCGGGAGAAGGCACGCUGGUGUGUAGGUGAAGUCCCUGCGGAUGGAGCUGAGACCAGUCGAAGAUACCAGCUGGCUGCAACUGUUUAUUAAAAACACAGCACUGUGCAAACACGAAAGUGGACGUAUACGGUGUGACGCCUGCCCGGUGCCGGAAGGUUAAUUGAUGGGGUUAUCCGUAAGGAGAAGCUCUUGAUCGAAGCCCCGGUAAACGGCGGCCGUAACUAUAACGGUCCUAAGGUAGCGAAAUUCCUUGUCGGGUAAGUUCCGACCUGCACGAAUGGCGUAAUGAUGGCCAGGCUGUCUCCACCCGAGACUCAGUGAAAUUGAACUCGCUGUGAAGAUGCAGUGUACCCGCGGCAAGACGGAAAGACCCCGUGAACCUUUACUAUAGCUUGACACUGAACAUUGAGCCUUGAUGUGUAGGAUAGGUGGGAGGCUUUGAAGCGUGGACGCCAGUCUGCGUGGAGCCAACCUUGAAAUACCACCCUUUAAUGUUUGAUGUUCUAACGUUGGCCCCUGACCGGGGUUGCGGACAGUGUCUGGUGGGUAGUUUGACUGGGGCGGUCUCCUCCCAAAGCGUAACGGAGGAGCACGAAGGUUAGCUAAUCCUGGUCGGACAUCAGGAGGUUAGUGCAAUGGCAUAAGCUAGCUUGACUGCGAGCGUGACGGCGCGAGCAGGUGCGAAAGCAGGUCAUAGUGAUCCGGUGGUUCUGAAUGGAAGGGCCAUCGCUCAACGGAUAAAAGGUACUCCGGGGAUAACAGGCUGAUACCGCCCAAGAGUUCAUAUCGACGGCGGUGUUUGGCACCUCGAUGUCGGCUCAUCACAUCCUGGGGCUGAAGUAGGUCCCAAGGGUAUGGCUGUUCGCCAUUUAAAGUGGUACGCGAGCUGGGUUUAGAACGUCGUGAGACAGUUCGGUCCCUAUCUGCCGUGGGCGCUGGAGAAUUGAGGGGGGCUGCUCCUAGUACGAGAGGACCGGAGUGGACGCAUCACUGGUGUUCGGGUUGUCAUGCCAAUGGCACUGCCCGGUAGCUAAAUGCGGAAGAGAUAAGUGCUGAAAGCAUCUAAGCACGAAACUUGCCCCGAGAUGAGUUCUCCCUGAGACUUUAAGUCUCCUGAAGGAACGUUGAAGACGACGACGUUGAUAGGCCGGGUGUGUAAGCGCAGCGAUGCGUUGAGCUAACCGGUACUAAUGAACCGUGAGGCUUAACCUU
rnacentral:rRNA from 1 species